GCUCAGAAGGCUCCUGUGUGCAUAGGAGGAAAGCAGAGAUUGGUGACAUCACAGAACUCGAAAGGAACGGUGGAGAACACUCCAUUUAAUCAAUCAAUCAGCGUUUGUGGGGCACCAACUGAAUGGAAUAGAAAAUAUGGUUGCCAGGAGGCAUACACCAUUCGAGAACUCCAUAGAGAAGACUCUGCCAUCUUCAGCAGCCCCACCCCUUACAGUCCUCCCCCCAUUGGAGAACACGUACCGCUAACUUGGGCAUCUCCAGCCAGCCGACACGUCAUCAAGAUGGCUUUUGCAGACUUCCCAAGGCUGAGGGAGCCAUGGCCCUCAUUGCUGCGUUAUUGAUGGUGGUCUUAGAGAGAGAUGGAUCAUGUCAUCACUAUCCUCUCACAGCCUCAUCCGUUACAUUGACUUAGCUGUAUGUCCAUCAAGUGACACAAGAAACCUGAAACGGCCAGCUGGCAACCUCUGUUUCCAAACGAGAGAAACCAUUGAUUUGGCUGCAUACUAAAUCCCUAAACCAGGCGUGUUCAGAGUUCCAGGAAUGAGAAGCAAAAACACAAUAAAAAAUAAAUAAAACAUGAGCGGCUCUGCAUGGCUUUUUGAUGUGUCACUGGCCAGGCUACAGACCCCGGUCACCCAGUCACUGACCUAGUGCAGCUGUGAAGGGAUUUUACAGAUGGAGUGAAAGCCACUGAAGAGCUGAUCUCAAGUACGGACAAUCAUCCUGUAUGACCUGGGUGGCCCUGAGAAAGGCCCUCAGCACAGAGCUGAGGUGUCCCUGGGGAGACGAGAAAUUCCACACCAUCCCACUGGGAUCUUCCUUUUGCAAAUAGCUACUUUCACCUAAUGUUUCUGAGGGAGGGUUCAGUACUUCCUCCCUUUUGUGAUGGAAUAGUGUUCCAGUGUAUGCAUACACCACAUUUUAUUCAUCUGUUCAUCAGCUGGUGGGCGCUGGGCUGUGCCCUCUCUUGGGCUAUUAGGAGUAAUGCUACUAUGAAUAUCCGUGAACAAGUCUUUGUGUGGACACGUCUUCAGUUCUCCUAGGUAUAUAUCUAGGAGUUGGAUUGCUGAGUCUUAUUUUAACCGCUUGAGGUACUGUCAAACUGUUUUCCAAAGUAGCUGCCCAAUGUUACAUUCCCACCAGCAAUGUCUAAGGGCUCCAGUUUCCCCACAGCCUCGCCAACAUGUUAUUAUUUUGCUUUUUCAGUGUAGACAUCUUUGUGGAUGUGAAACGGUAUCUCAUUGUGCCUUUGACUUCAAUUCUCCUAAUUACUAACGAUGUGAGCAUCCUUGCAGGCGCUUAUUGACCAGCUGGAUAUCUUCUUUGAAAAAAUAUCUAUCAGAUCCUUUGCCCAUAUUUUAAUUGGGUUCUUUGUCAUUUUGUGGUUGAGUUAUAAGAGUUCUUUGUAUGUGCUGGAUACCAGAACGUUAUAAGAUACAUGAUUUUAAAAUAUUUUCUCCCAUUCUGUGGGUUGACUUUUCAAUUUCUGGAGAGUGUCCUCUGAGGCACAAAAGUUUUUAUUUUGAUGAAGGCCAAUUUAUCUGUUUUUCCUCUGGUUGCUUGUGCUUUAAGUGUCAUGUCUCAGAAACUACUGCCUAAUCCAAGGUCAUGAGGGUUGACACCUACAUUCCCUGUUAAAAGUGUCAUGGUCUUAACUCUUGUAUUUUAGGUCCUUGACUCAUUUUGAAUUAAUUUUUGUAUACGGCAUGAGGCCAGGGUCCAGAUCCAAGCACCAUUUGUUGAAAGGACUAUCCUUUCCUCAUUGAAUUGUCUUAGUGCGCUUGCUAAAAAUCCAUUGACCUUAGAUGUUUGGGGUUAUGUCUGGACUCCAAGUCUAUUCUGUUGAUCACUGUAGCUUGGUAAUAAGUCUUGAAAUCACGAAGUGUGAGUGCUCCACCUUUGCUUUUCUUUGUCAAGAUAGUUUUGGCUGUUUGGGGUCCCUUGCACUUCCACACGAAUUUUAAGAUAAGGUUGAGCCUCUUGGAUAAGUUUGGAUGUAUUCAAAUGAUAACAGGGUCUCACAGGAGGUUGAAGGACAACACUUGUAAGAUGUACAGGAACCAAGGCUGUUCUAGAAGGCCAGAGAAAAGGGACAUGGGCUACCCUGGACAUGGUUAUGAUGCUAUCAUGGCAGCAUCUGUGAGCAAAUUCUAAUUGUCCCUAGGUUGUUGCUUCACUUUGUCCAGUUUCAACAUCCUGGUGGAUGUGUCCAUACGGCUAAGUCUGGGUCCCCUGCCUAAGCUCUCGCUGUCUGGGAACAAGGAAGAAGUUUCGCUUUUCUCUUUGACGCUGGUGUUAGGAGAUGGGACUCAACAUCACAUGACAGAGUCUCAUUAUAUUUGUAAAUAACAUUCACUACAUCGAAAUAAGGGCAAUUGUUUACCUUGUCCUUUCUCUAGACCAGAAACUCCUUAAAAGCAAAGACUAUGCUUUAUCCAACAUUUUUACCUGUGGAUUUUUCCUCUUAAAAUAAAUAAGUAUUGAAACAAAAAGAGAAUAAUAACCCUCCCACAGCCAAUGAGGCAGGCAUGGUCACACUCAUUCCCACGGGACAGGUGAGCAAAGUGGAUCUUCAAGAGUAAUUCGUUUGCUGAAUUUCACAUAAAAAGUAACCAACAAGGCUGGUAAAUUCAGGUUACCAGAAUCUAAACCCACACUCCCGGGCACUGCUGUACCAGACAGCAGGGGACUAGAGAUUCACCUUCAGAGUCUGUAUCAGUUUCCUAAAGCUGCUGUAACAAAGUAGCACAAACUGAGUGGUUAAAACGACAGAAAUUUACUCUCUCACAGCUCUGGAGGUGAGAGUCUGAAAUCAAGCUGGGGGCAGAAUUGGUCCCAUCUGAGGCUGUGAAGGGGCAUCUGUGCCAGGCCUCUCUCCCGGCUUCUGUGUCUGCCAGUCCUGGGUGUCCCUUGGCUUGUAGACACGUCACCCAUAUCUGCCCCCAUCGUCCCGUGGCCUUCUCUCCCUGGGUCUCUUCCUUUCUUCUUGUAAGAUCACAUUCGGAAGUUCUGGGUGGACAUGAAUUUGGGGGACAGCAUUCAACCCAGUCCAGAGUCACACAGACCUGAACUGGGGUCUUGGCUCCUUACAGCCGUGUGACAUCAUAACCCUCAUCCCCCUGGCAGCAGUAUGACAGUUUGCCCCAGAUGGUCCCUGUUGCUGUCAUAUAAUUUUAAUAUUGUCCCCAUUUAUUCUCAAGCUAUUUCCGUUUGAACAAUUGAUGACGCAGUCACUCCAUGUGUAAUGUGUGUGAAUUCCCUAACGCACAGAAGGCCCUGAGUAAAUGACAACUUCCAUUAUUAAAGGAAGCAGCGUUCAGGGAUGGGGCCACAUUUUUGGGUCAAGGCUUUCUGUAACUGGGAAGCGAAGGCUGAGGCCACAAACAGUUCAUCAACGAAAGGGAAAGUAUUACAUUUCUCCGCGGCUCUCGGUCUGUGCUGUCCCAUAAGGUAACCACUGGCCACAUGUAGCUAUUUAGAUUUAAAUUCAUUAUAAUUAAAUAAAAUGUACUGAGCCUUACUCGAGGCCCAGUAGCUGCCCGGCUGGCUCCGUCUGGGACAGUGCAGACACAGACCCUCCACGUCACCGCAGAAAGGCCGAUGGGACAGGGCUCCCAGGGCUGUCUGUCAACCUUGGCUGCAGGGGAGGCCCAGGGGCACCUUCCGAAUCCCAACGCCGGGGCACACCCUAGGCGGGUUUAAUCACAACCUCUGGGGGUGGGCCCAGGACUGUCUCCAGAUGAGCAUGCACCGGGGUCACCCGGAGACCGUGAAAGCACAGAUGGCUGGGCUCCACCCCCAGAAUUUCAGACUCAGUAAGGCAGGGGCGAGAUGCGAGAAUCUGCCUUUCUAACAAGUCCCCAGGGAGCACACUUUGCAAUCAAGGCCUUGGAAGGAAGGAAUUCCGGGAGAACGCCUGCUGCCCACAGCCUGCUUGCCCACAAAGCGGGCACCUCGCCACCCUGUAGUGCGAAUAGCAGCAGAGAGCAGGAGGCAAAGGCGUGUUCCCAACCCGUGCACUGUGGCCCCGGGGAGGAUGGCUUCCGAAGGGCUCCAGAACGAGCCAAGGCAGAGACCGAGGUCCAGUCGAAAAGGAAAUCUCCCUGUUUCUCUCACCUCCCUUCCAUCACUUUUUUCUCUUCCAUCCUUCCGAGCCCCUGAGGCUGCCGGGCCCAUCGUUUCCUCUCUAGUCCAGCUUGGCUCCCGUGGUGAAUGGGGACGAGCCUGCCUGCCCCUUCCAAACGCCCCUGCCACUCCUGGAGGCGACAGCCUUGUGCGAGGCUCCCAGUCCUGAAAGGCAUCUAGUGUUCCUUGUCCACUGGUCCCCAGCAAAAUCAAAUUCAUGGGUUCUACCCGUGAAGACAGUGGCCCCAGGCUUGAGCAGCCUGAAACUUGUGGAAGCCAGAGACCCAUGCGCAACGUUUUAGGAUCACACCUUUAGACCUAUAAAUGAAACAGGCCCCAAGGGGAUGCAACCCCAACAGCCUGCAGCAGCGUCCAUCUAAAUGAGCCCUAGGCUUCUGCUCAAAUCACUACAUGGUUCUGUUCAGACGAUUCUCCUACAAUAUUAACUGUCUGGACACACGAAUCUCCUUCUUUCUUGUUCUUCUCUUCAUCCCAUUUCACUUUAAUUUGGGGCCUCUCUUCAUUCUAAAUGAAUAAAAGCAUUUAUAAGCUAUGCUAGCCAUUCCUCACUUAGCCAGGAUUUUCCAUUAAAAAAACACGAAGUUCUAAACUAGCCUCAAUUUCUGUGCCUCAAAGAAAUGAAGGAUAAUUGCUGAUCUGAGAUUCCUAA